rnacentral:rRNA from 1 species
AGAGCGAACGCUGGCGGCAGGCCUAACACAUGCAAGUCGAGCGCCCGUAGCAAUACGGGAGCGGCAGACGGGAUAGUAACACGUGGGAACGCGCCCUUCGGUUCGGAAUAACUCAGGGAAACUUGAGCUAAUACCGGAUACGCCCUUACGGGGAAAGAUUUAUUGCCGAAGGAACGGCCCGCGUCCGAUUAGCUAGUUGGUGAGGUAAUGGCUCACCAAGGCGACGAUCGGUAGCUGGUCUGAGAGGAUGACCAGCAUCACUGGGACUGAGACACGGCCUAGACUCCUACGGGAGGCAGCAGUGGGGAAUAUUGGACAAUGGGCGCAAGCCUGAUCCAGCCAUGCCGCGUGGAUGAUGAAGGCCUUAGGGUUGUAAAGUCCUUUUAACGGGGAAGAUAAUGACGGUACCCGUAGAAUAAGCCCCGGCUAACUUCGCGCCAGCAGCCGC